AAACUGGAUAACUUGAGUGCAGAAGAGGAAAGUGUAAGUCCAUGUGUAGCGGUGAAAUGCGCAGAGAUAUGGCGGAACACCAGUGGCGAAGGCGACUUUCUGGUCUUUAACUGACGCUGAUGUGCGAAAGCGUGGGGAUCAAACAGUAUUAGAUACCAUGGUAGUCCACGCCGUAAACGAUGAGUGCUAUGUGUUAGGGGUUUUCCGCCCCUUAGUGCUGCAGCUAACGC
rnacentral:rRNA from 1 species